UGAACAUGAUUUUGGUGUGACUACUUCAACCAAUCAAUACUCUGAGAAGAGCAAACUCAGCUCAAUCAUGGGGAAAUGUAAGGUCUUUGCAAAUCUAGCUGAAAAUCUCUAAUGUUGAAAGCCAAUGCUUGGGAUGAAGGUGAUUGGAAUGCCAGAACACACCAAAAUCUGAAGUGAAGACCAGAGAGGAGAAGUGAUUCACCGAAGGAAGUGCAGCUUAAGGAGAGUGUACAGGAGAGAAGACUGAGG